rnacentral:snRNA from 1 species
AUGCUCACUUUGGCAGCAUGUACACUAAAUUGGGAAUGGCAUCAAGAUUAGCGCGGCUCCCGCACAGGGACGACGUGAAUUCAUGAAGCAUUCCAACAUUUA